UACAGAGGUCUCAAGCGUUGUUCGGAUUCAUUGGGCGUAAAGGGUGCGUAGGCGGCGCGGUAAGUCGGGUGUGAAAUCUUGGAGCUUAACUCCGAAACUGCAUUCGAUACGUGCGGUGCUUGAGGACUGGAGAGGAGACUGGAAUUCAUGGUGUAGCAGUGAAAUGCGUAGAGAUCAUGAGGAAGACCAGUGGCGAAGGCGGGUCUCUGGACAGUUCCUGACACUGAGGCACGAAGGCCAGGGGAGCAAACGGG
rnacentral:rRNA from 1 species